rnacentral:ribozyme from 2 species
GGAUUAAUGCAGCUACACUAUUGUGUAAGAGUCCAAAGCCUCUAUAAAUGCAGAUGGGUCA